rnacentral:rRNA from 1 species
AGUUUUCCCCUUCGGGGCAGAUGUGUAGGUGCUGCAUGGUUGUCGUCAGCUCGUGCCGUGAGGUGUCGGCUUAAGUGCCAUAACGAGCGCAACCCUCAUCAUUAGUUACCAUCAGGUAAGGCUGGGGACUCUAAUGAGACUGCCAUCGUAAGAUGUGAGGAAGGUGGGGAUGACGUCAAAUCAGCACGGCCCUUACGUCCGGGGCGACACACGUGUUACAAUGGGUGGUACAAAGGGCAGCUACCUGGCGACAGGAUGCUAAUCUCCAAAACCACUCUCAGUUCGGAUCGGAGUCUGCAACUCGACUCCGUGAAGCUGGAUUCGCUAGUAAUCGCGCAUCAGCCACGGCGCGGUGAAUACGUUCCCGGGCCUU